CCUACGGGUGGCAGCAGUGAGGAAUAUUGGUCAAUGGGCGCGAGCCUGAACCAGCCAAGUAGCGUGAAGGAUGACUGCCCUCCGGUUUGUAAACUUCUUUUAUAAAGGCAUAAAGUGAGGCACUUGUGCCUUUUUGUAUGUACUUUAUGAAUAAGCAACGGCUAACUCCGUGCCAGCAGCCGCGGUAAUACGGAGGAUCCGAGCGUUAUCCGGAUUUAGUGGGUUUAAAGGGAGCGUAGAUGGGUUGUUAAGUCAGUUGUGAAAGUUUGCGGCUCAACCGUAAAAUUGCAAGUGAUACUGGCAGUCUUGAGUACAGUUGAGGUAGGCGGAAUUCGUGGUGUAGCGGUGAAAUGCGUAGAUAUCACGAAGAACUCCGGUUGCGAAGGCAGCUUACUAAACAGCCACUGACAUUGAUGCGCGAAAGUGUGGGUAUCAAACAGGAUUAGAUACCCCUGUAGUC
rnacentral:rRNA from 1 species